rnacentral:lncRNA from 1 species
AUGUUGGACAAGGCGCGUCUGCGCCUCCGGCCGCCGCGGCUCCCGGGGCCUCCGCCUGCAGCCUGCGGCGGAACGGGGGCAGGCGGCUGAGACAGGCGAGCUAUUUGCAUUCCCCGGCAGUCAUUUUUAUAUGCGGAGGUAAUGAAGUUGUCAGCGGCGCCCCGAGUGUGGCAGAGCCUGAUAUUCAAAUCGCCCUGCCCGCUCCGCCUGCUCCCGCCCGCCGGUCCCGGGAGCCCCAGGCUGCGCGCGCCCGCACCGCAUCCCCGCUUUGCCCCGCGACCGCGCGCGCCUCCUCGUCCUCCCCCGCGCCUUUGUUUCCGUCUCCUUCUCCUUUCCCUCCUCUUUUGUGUCGGGCCAGACUCAGCCCCAGAAACCAGCCACCCUGCCGCGUCCGACUGCCAGGGAUCCCUCACGCCGCGAGGCUUGUCAUUCAUGCCUUGACACCUCUCAUUCAUCUGAGUCUGGCCUGCUGGAUAUGCAAAUGAUAGGAGGACUGAAAAUCAUAAUCCUUCAGCUGUGAUGGCUAGUAUGUCAACGUCACUAUUCUUGGAACAAGCCAUUUUUACCAGAGAUGUCUCCAAGAGCACCAGCAACCCCAGCUAUCUGGAUCUGAAGUGGAUCUGCUCAGAGACAUCCUGGCCCACCCCAAAGAAGAUGCUGCUGCACUCAGAAGACGCCAGAGCUAGCCACCACCCACACUGCAAGUCUGGAAGCUCUGCCAGGACCCAGCAAGGCAGCCUGCUCAGCGAAGGCUUUGUCUCCUGUGGCAGGAAGAGCAACAUUAAGAACAAGAACCCCGGGCUGGACUACCCUCGAGAUUUAAUGACCAGAGCUGAGACCCCCAAGACCACAAUGACUAUGGAGGGCUGUCAUUACCUUGCCUGACCCUCUAAUGCAUCUCAGUUCAUGGAGG